AGUGAACGCUGGCGGUAGGCCUAACACAUGCAAGUCGAACGGCAGCACAGUAAGAGCUUGCUCUUACGGGUGGCGAGUGGCGGACGGGUGAGGAAUACAUCGGAAUCUACUUUUUCGUGGGGGAUAACGUAGGGAAACUUACGCUAAUACCGCAUACGACCUACGGGUGAAAGCAGGGGAUCUUCGGACCUUGCGCGAUUGAAUGAGCCGAUGUCGGAUUAGCUAGUUGGCGGGGUAAAGGCCCACCAAGGCGACGAUGCGUAGCUGACCUGAGAGGAUGAGCGGCGACACUGGAACUGAGACACGGUCCAGACUACGACGGGAGGCAGCAGUAGGGAAGGUUCCGCAAUGGGCGAGAGCCUGACGGAGCAACGCCGCGUGAGUGAUGAAGGUCUGCGGAUCGUAAAACGCUGUUAGGAGGGAAGAACAAAUGUGUAAGUAACUAUGCACGGCGGGACGGUACCUAAUCAGAAAGCAACGGCUAACUACGUG
rnacentral:rRNA from 1 species